UACGUAGGGUGCGAGCGUUAAUCGGAAUUACUGGGCGUAAAGCGUGCGCAGGCGGUUUUGUAAGCCAGAUGUGAAAUCCCCGGGCUUAACCUGGGAAUGGCAUUUGGGACUGCAAGGCUUGAGUGCGGCAGAGGAGACUAGAAUUCCUGGUGUAGCAGUGAAAUGCGUAGAUAUCAGGAGGAAUACCGAUGGCGAAGGCAGGUCUCUGGGCUGACACUGACGCUCAGGCACGAAAGCUAGGGGAGCGAACAGG
rnacentral:rRNA from 1 species